rnacentral:lncRNA from 1 species
AUAACAAUGAGCAAAGUCUUACAAAGUGAAACAAGUGCAACAUGGUCUUGAGUCCUACAAGUAUUUUUCCAGCAUAAGUCUUCUCCAAAGUUUCCUCUUUUGAACCUCAGGACUCGAGAUUAUACAUUUUGAAAUAUUAACACAAACAUCUAAAUUUUGUGUUUGUACUUGAAGAAAAAGAAUCAUGAAAUAAUAUUAAUUUUUUUUCUUGUUGAUGGGAAUUCAUUGCCUAGCCUUUGAUUUAUAUUA